rfam:Termitomyces sp. J132 unplaced genomic scaffold scaffold144, whole genome shotgun sequence.
GGCGCUGUAGUGUAGCGGUUAUCACUCAAGAUUCUGAUACCUACUUAUUUCUUGAAACCCAGGUUCGAUUCCUGGCAGCGCCU